rnacentral:rRNA from 1 species
UUGGGAAUCGUACGCAAUGGGCGCAAGCCUGACGUCGCGACACCGCGUGGAGGAAGAAGGCUCUCGGGUUGUAAACUCCUUUUGUCAGGGACGAUUAUGACGGUACCUGGCGAAUAAGCACCGGCUAACUACGUGCCAGCAGCCGCGGUAAUACGUAGGGUGCAAGCGUUAUCCGGAAUUAUUGGGCGUAAAGAGCGCGUAGGCUGUUUGGGAAGUUGCCCGUUAAAUCUCCAGGCUCAACUUGGAGCAUGCAGGCAAAACUCCCAGACUAGAGGAUAGCAGGGGCAAGCGGAAUUCCCGGUGUAGGAGUGAAAUCCGUUGAUAUCGGGAGGAACACCAAUGGCGAAGGCAGCUUGCUAGGCUAUUUCUAACGCUGAGGCGCGAAAGCGUGGGUAGCGAACGGG